AUAGAUGCAAGGAAUCUGAGGAGUAAUUAUCCAAGUUUUUUAAAGAGAGUUCAUGGCUAGGUGGAAAUGAACAAAAACAGAUAAUGAAGGUAGCAGAGGAGCAUGAUUUCUGAAGUUAGUAAGUAAUCCCGGAUAAUUCCGUUAUUAAUAUUUAAGCUACUGCAAAGUAGAAAUUAAGGUGGUACCACGAAACUUUCGUCCUUUUG
rnacentral:ncRNA from 1 species